rnacentral:rRNA from 1 species
UACGUAGGGGGGCAAGCGUUGUCCGGAAUCAUUGGGCGUAAAGAGCGUGUAGGCGCCAGAAAAGUCCGCUGUGAAAACUCGAGGCUCAACUUCGAGCUGUCGGUGGAAACUUUCUGGCUAGAGUCCGGAAGAGGAGAAUGGAAUUCCUGGUGUAGCGGUGAAAUGCGCAGAUAUCAGGAGGAACACCGGUGGCGAAGGCGGGUCUCUGGGCAGUAACUGACGCUGAGGAGCGAAAGCGUGGGGAGCGAACAGG